rnacentral:rRNA from 1 species
UACGUAGGGUGCGAGCGUUAAUCGGAAUUACUGGGCGUAAAGCGUGCGCAGGCGGUUUUGUAAGUCUGACGUGAAAUCCCCGGGCUUAACCUGGGAAUUGCGUUGGAGACUGCAAGGCUGGAGUCUGGCAGAGGGGGGUAGAAUUCCACGUGUAGCAGUGAAAUGCGUAGAGAUGUGGAGGAACACCGAUGGCGAAGGCAGCCCCCUGGGUCAAGACUGACGCUCAUGCACGAGAGCGUGGGGAGCAAACAGG